rnacentral:lncRNA from 1 species
AUGUCAGAAACAAUGGUGUGGGAGGCCCUGAUUUCAGUAUUGAGUUAGACCUGAAAAUGGUAAUGGUCAAGAGCUCUGUUUUCCUAUUUUCCAUUUGUGCUGGUUAUUUUUUUGGUCUAUCUUUAAAUGUUAAUAGUUUUUUUGGAAAAAAUAUUAGGAGAGCUUGCAAGUUCCAAAUGAUUUUUUUGCGCAACACAGAAAUGCUUUGGGGAAUCAAGUUGUGAUUAGGGAUCCUGUAGGGGGUGAGUUCUCAUUUAGGUUGCUCUGUGGGGGGCAAAGGAGGUUUGAUAUUUGAGUCUAUGAAUGAGAUUGUGAAAAGGUAUGGUUUGAAAGAAAAUCAUUUGGCUGAUUUC